GAUGAACGCUAGCGGGAGGCCUAACACAUGCAAGCCGAGCGGUCUUUGUUCUUCGGAACAGAGAGAGCGGCGCACGGGUGCGGAACACGUGUGCAACCUGCCUUUAUCUGGGGGAUAGCCUUUCGUACGGAAGAUUAAUACUCCAUAAUAUAUUGAGUGGCAUCCUUUGAUAUUGACAACUCCGGUGGAUAGAGAUGGGCACGCGCAAGAUUAGAUAGUUGGUGAGGUAACGGCUCACCAAGUCAAUGAUCUUUAGGGGGCCUGAGAGGGUGAUCCCCCAGACUGGUACUGAGACACGGACCAGACUCCUACGGGAGGCAGCAGUGAGGAAUAUUGAACAAUGGGGUAGCGCCUGAUCCAGCCAUCCCGCGUGAAGGACGACGGCCCUAUGGGUUGUAAGCUUCUUUUGUAUAGGGAUAAACCUACUCUCGUGAGAGUAGCUGAAGGUACUAUACGAAUAAGCACCGGCUAACUCCGUG
rnacentral:rRNA from 1 species